GACGAACGCUGGCGGCGUGCUUAACACAUGCAAGUCGAACGGAAAGGCCCUGCUUUUGUGGGGUGCUCGAGUGGCGAACGGGUGAGUAACACGUGAGUAACCUGCCCUUGACUUUGGGAUAACUUCAGGAAACUGGGGCUAAUACCGGAUAGGAGCUCCUGCUGCAUGGUGGGGGUUGGUAAGUUUCGGCGGUUGGGGAUGGACUCGCGGCUUAUCAGCUUGUUGGUGGGGUAGUGGCUUACCAAGGCUUUGACGGGUAGCCGGCCUGAGAGGGUGACGGGCCACAUUGGGACUGAGAUACGGCCCAGACUCCUACGGGAGGCAGCAGUGGGGAAUAUUGCACAAUGGGCGGAAGCCUGAUGCAGCAACGCCGCGUGCGGGAUGACGGCCUUCGGGUUGUAAACCGCUUUCGCCUGUGACGAAGCGUGAGUGACGGUAAUGGGUAAAGAAGCACCGGCUAACUACGUG
rnacentral:rRNA from 1 species